rnacentral:lncRNA from 1 species
GCAAGAAUUGCUUUGGGCGAAUCCUCUGUGGGGAUAUCGCAAUGGGAUACGUGCAGGAAGCCCGAGAAAAUCACGUCAGGGAGAAGGUCGAAGAAGGUAAAUUUGAUAUUAAACCCCUAACUGGCCAUGUACAUUAAUCAUAUAUUGUCACUUGUGAAGCAUCAAAUAGUUGUAGAAUACAACCCACCCAUUACUACUUUGUUGAAAUGCAUACCAAUUUUGUACGAAUGUAUAUAUUGUAAAAAUUGCUCAUAUUUUAUGUAGUUGAAGUUGAGUCUCAAAUGUAAGCUUCAAAUGAAAAAAAAAAAAUUGUUUAAUCACCUCCAUAUUCCGCAAUUCAUUUUCCACAUCUGUUUAAGUUUCCAAUAAACCAUUUGGAAAGCUGGAGUUGUAGGCCUAAGUUCUGUUUGAGUAAUUUUUUGGCAUCUCAAUGGUAUGAGGCAGAAGGACUACUUGCUGAUAUGUGGCACUAUAUGUCAGCAGUUCUCCUUUUAUUUGUUUUAUUGUGUUUUAUACUGCUUAUCAAGAACAUAAUCUUCUCCUCCAUUGUAGUUUGUCAAAUGCUUCAGUUAAAGCAAAUUGUGUGGAGGUUAUCAUUUAGAUUUCAUGUUACAUUGCAUUAAUCAUCAUAAUUUGCAUGUCCUAUCAUUAACUUUGCACAUAACACAAGAAUUGUGCUUAUAUUCACUUAGGUAGAAAAUUAUAACUUGCUUCUAGAGCAUCCCAUAAAAUAUACUGAUAAUUAAUUGUUUGGUCAACUUUUUUAUACUAUUGAUGGAUUAUUUUGGUUUCUACCUGGUUUGGUUUCACAAGGGUGCUUUUGGUUGAAAAUUGUAGAAGACUGUAGGGAGUGGCAAGACUGUAGGGAGUGGCAAUGCUGGAUAUUGUAGUCUACCUUAAAGUUAAUAAUCCCUCCAUUGAUCAGCACAGAGAUAUGCGUUUGGACAUACAUCACAUGUCCUAUGAGGUGAGAAUUGGGUUUCUCGAUUAUAUGUAUUGUCUCACAUUUGUUGUGAUGGUUGACGAGUAUAUGCUAAUUCUCUGCUUUAUUUUUAUGGUAGUUACUACAUGAACAUGCAAAGAACAUUCUUAUGAGGCAAAUGUUUCUGCCGAUGU